UACGUAGGGUGCAAGCGUUGUCCGGAAUUAUUGGGCGUAAAGAGCUCGUAGGCGGUUUGUCGCGUCUGCUGUGAAAUCCCAGGGCUUAACCCUGGGCCUGCAGUGGGUACGGGCAAACUAGAGUGCGGUAGGGGAGAUUGGAAUUCCUGGUGUAGCGGUGAAAUGCGCAGAUAUCAGGAGGAACACCGGUGGCGAAGGCGGAUCUCUGGGCCGAUACUGACGCUGAGGAGCGAAAGCGUGGGGAGCGAACAGG
rnacentral:rRNA from 1 species